CCUGGUCUGUGGCCUUCAGUUUCACAGGCUGGUGUUUUUACACUUUCUCCUCCCUACUCUGUUAGAAGAGACAGAAGACAUAUAGGAGGUCACAAUGGCAGAAAUGCCCAUCCCCAGGAAUGUGUCACACGUUCAGGGGCCAAGCCUGCAAGGGGCUCCAGAAAGGACAUAAGGAGAGGAAGCGUGGAUUUCAUAAGUGCACGGCUUCCCGAGGGACCUGCAUUCAAGAUCCCUGAACUCAUUUAUACUCAUAAUGACUGGUAUGUUUGAUAAAAGAAAUCAGAGUCAUUACCUCCAUAACUUGGGGGAAAAAUCUCAUUAUCUUUGAAUAAAAUCAACCUGUAUUUAUCCUGGUACAGAGCCAUCUCCAAAAUGCA